rnacentral:rRNA from 1 species
UCGGAAUUAGAUGAGCCCGCGUGAGAUUAGCUAGUUGGUGGGGUAAUGGCCUACCAAGGCGACGAUCUCUAGCUGGUCUGAGAGGAUGAUCAGCCACACUGGGACUGAGACACGGCCCAG